ACAUGUUAACAUGUAUUUUCAGGGAUCUAAAUGUGUGGAUUGCAUACAGACUGAUAUACAUUAAAACUUCCAUUUACUUUUAUAAAUAAUAAUAAUUUUAAAACGUGACGAAAACAAGAGUCAAACGUUAUAUUUCUCGAGGGGAUUUCUUGCCAAGUGUGGGUAGCCACGUGGUCGCGCUGACAAAAGAUUAUUAUCGUCGACCGUUUUUGUGUGUUGUAUAGUGUAUUACACACGGCGAAAAAAUGGCCACG